GACGAACGCUGGCGGCGUGCUUAACACAUGCAAGUCGAACGGAAAGGCCCUGCUUUUGUGGGGUGCUCGAGUGGCGAACGGGUGAGUAACACGUGAGUAACCUGCCCUUGACUUUGGGAUAACUUCAGGAAACUGGGGCUAAUACCGGAUAGGAGCUCCUGCUGCAUGGUGGGGGUUGGAAAGUUUCGGCGGUUGGGGAUGGACUCGCGGCUUAUCAGCUUGUUGGUGGGGUAGUGGCUUACCAAGGCUUUGACGGGUAGCCCGCCUGAGAGGGUGCCCGGCCACAUUGGGACUGAGAUACGGCCCAGACUCCUACGGGAGGCAGCAGUGGGGAAUAUUGCACAAUGGGCGGAAGCCUGAUGCAGCAACGCCGCGUGCGGGAUGACGGCCUUCGGGUUGUAAACCGCUUUCGCCUGUGACGAAGCGUGAGUGACGGUAAUGGGUAAAGAAGCACCGGCUAACUACGUG
rnacentral:rRNA from 1 species